ACCGGCCUAUUCACAGCCAUUUUCACAAAAUCCUGAUGCUUUGAGGGAAAACGAAGACGAAAUGGAAGGACUAAUUCCAGUUAUCAAUAAAUUGCAAGAUGUCUUCAAUACAGUCGGGUCAGAGACAAUAUUGCUGCCACAGAUCGUUGUAAUUGGCAACCAGAGUUCAGGUAAAAGUUCUGUGGUAGAGAGUCUGGUUGGUCGUGACUUUCUUCCUAGAGGGACAGGCAUUGUAACAAGACGCCCUCUGGUGCUGCAGCUUGUCCAUGUCGCCAAAAAUGAUACAGAGGCCAGAAAGGUAGAGGGAGGAGGAAGUAUCAGGGCAGAAGAAUGGGGGAAAUUUUUGCACACUAAAGACAAAAUAUAUACAGACUUUACUGAGAUCCGACGAGAAAUAGAAAAUGAAACUGAUCGGAUGUCAGGAAUAAACAAGGGAAUAUGUCCAGAUCCCAUCAACUUGAAGAUAUAUUCACCAAAGAUUGUAAACCUGACCCUGGUUGACUUGCCAGGGAUGACCAAAGUCCCCGUAGGAGACCAGCCUCAGGACAUCGAAGGACAGAUAUACGACCUCUGUUUAAAAUACAUUAGUAAUCCCAACUCAAUCAUUCUAGCUGUAACAGCAGCCAACACAGACAUGGCCACAUCAGAGGCACUGAAACUGGCCAAGGAUGUUGAUGUCGAUGGUCGUCGUACUUUGGCUGUGGUGACCAAGCUUGAUCUGAUGGACCACGGGACAGAUGCUAUGGAUGUUUUAUGUGGACGAGUUAUUCCUGUCAAGCUCGGCAUUAUAGGUGUUGUCAACCGUAGUCAGGCAGAUAUAAACUCUUCCAAGGAUUUAACGACUGCUGUGAAAGACGAGGGGGCAUUUUUACAGAAGAAGUACCCAUCUAUAGCCAGUAGAAAUGGAACACAUUACCUAGCUAAAACAUUGAAUAGAUUACUUAUGCACCACAUACGAGACUGCUUACCAGAGCUAAAGACCCGAGUGAAUAUCCUUAUGGCACAGUUCCAGUCCCUUCUCAUCUCCUUUGGAGAUCCAGUGGAAGAUAAGGGCCAGCUGCUACUACAGAUUAUCACAAGAUUUGCCUCUGCUUACUGUAGCACAAUAGAAGGAACCUCUAAAUUUAUUGAAACUUCAGAACUAUGUGGUGGAGCUAGGAUAUGUUAUAUAUUUCAUGAAACGUUCGGUCGUACUUUAGAAUCUGUUGAUCCAUUAGUGGGUCUUACAACAAUGGACAUACUUACAGCUAUUAGGAAUGCAACGGGUCCAAGACCUGCCCUUUUCGUGCCAGAAGUAUCAUUUGAAUUGUUAGUAAAGAGACAAAUUCGGCGUUUAGAGGAGCCAAGUCUUCGCUGUGUAGAACUUGUCCAUGAGGAAAUGCAGCGUAUAAUUCAACACUGUGGUACACAGCAGGAGAUGUUGAGGUUCCCUAAACUCCAUGAGAAGAUUAUUGAUGUUGUCACACAUCUCUUGCGUCGCAGACUCCCACCCACAAACAGCAUGGUGGAGAACAUUGUAGGAAUAGAACUAGCUUAUAUCAACACUAAACACCCGGACUUCCAUGAGGUACACGUUGUACAGAAAAGUAUGACAGAAAACACAGAGCUUCCAAAGAACAUCCACAGGGAACUGGUGGAGGCCAGGCAAAACGAGGAGAGUAGAGACCAUAGUAAGGAGAAAAAGGUACUCAAUAGUGCAGCACCAGAUAAUGCCUGGAAAUUUUCAAAUUUAAUCAAGACCAAAAACCUGGAUAAACUGGAGCUAGGGACAGCCAGCGCCCCUAGUAGUGUGGCAGGAUCACCAGCUCAUAAGAAGGGUGUCAAUCUGCUGUCUGAUGUGCCCUCCACGGAAAUAGCAAGAAAACUUUCACCACGAGAGAGACGGGACUGUGAAGUUAUCGAGUGUCUGAUCCGGUCAUACUUCCUUAUCGUACGUAAGAACAUCCAGGACACCAUCCCGAAGGCCAUCAUGCACUUUUUGGUGAAUCAUGUCAAAGACAACUUACAGAGUGAGCUAGUCAGCCAGCUGUACAAGAAGGAGGAGUUUGAGUACUUACUCGAGGAGUCAGAUCAUAUCGCAGCACGGCGUAAGGAGGCCCAGGACAUGCUCAAGGCUUUACAAAGAGCGAGUCACAUUAUUGGAGAGAUCCGUGAAACCCAUCUCUGGUGAUAGCUGCCUACUGGAGUGUAACAGACUCAGUGCUGGUCGACCACCCCUGUUGUGUCGUGUCUCAAAGUACAAAGCGAUACCAGUCAUCUCCUCAUUUUGGACAAAAUUCAAAUACUCUUUGUACCUUUGAAGACAUUGUAUACAUAUUUUUAUCUAGUGACUAUAUAUUUGACCUUUUUAUCUCUAAAUCUAAAUAUUUAAAAAAAAAAAAAAUUAACCAACUUGUGUAUCUCUAAAUUUAAAUAUUUAAAUCAACAAUUUAUGUAGUGUAGUUGACUGAAGUCACAGAAAAAGAUACUAUCAGGUUAAGUGUUAUUACUGGUCAUACGGUAACUAGAUAAAAAAUGUAACCACAGGUGUCACUUGGGGUGAUACCAGAACCACAAUCAGGUAAAGGUCAAAGUGCAAAGGUCACACAGACAUGAUGCAUCAAGUUAUAGCUGACUUCUUGUUCCAUGUGCAAUUGAUGUGUCAUAAAUUUUCUAAAAUACUUGUAUGAUAGAGUGAAGCCUCAAUAAUCCAGUCACCAUCAUUCUCAAUUGCUAGAUUGUAUUAAUUUAUAUCUCAAAAUAGGUGACCCGAUAUUUAGAGUCAUCAGAUUAGUGGUGACCGGCUUGAUGAGGCUGUGUACAUUUUUGUGAUAGACGAGAAUGUGAACAUUUUUAUAAACUUUGAGAUACAUGUAUAUAACUGCAUGUUGAUUGAAAGUAACAAAAACCAUUUGAGGAUUCAAACUUUGAUGACAUUCAAUGAUGAUUUGUAACUUUGCACAUUAUGCUGCCAUACUUAUAAGAUCAAACCUGAAGUUUUUAUAAUGGCCAGUUUAAGUACCGGUAUGUAAGAUUGCUUGCCAAUAUUAGAAAGCUAGGUAAAUAUGUUGUUCAUAGUUAAGAAAGGAACCUAACUCAAAGGUUCUAAAAAUACUCGCCUGUUCUGAAAAGAAUUCUUUUCAUGGUGGUGAGGAAUACAAUUCACAGAUGCCUAGUUCUAAUUCAUAGUAAUUAGUUUUAAGUUAUGUAGUAUUUCUAAAGUGCACAGUAAUCAAAAAAACGCAAUAGGUAGCUUCAGGUCGUAUUUUAGGUUAUAAUUUGUUACUAAGUAAAAUUUGAAGUCUGCUGUAAUUUGGGAAACAGUUUUGUGUGGUGACUUUGGUCAUCUAUAUAAAGGACCAGAACAGUUUGGAGCAAGAAUAUUGUUGUGAUUUGUAUUAAGUUUGUUGUGACCAUAAAAACUGUGAUGUCAGUGUAUAGGUGUAUUUGUACCAAGCGACACAUAGAUGUUUGUGUUUCUAGAUCUUUGAUUUGCUGUUUUCAGUGAAGAUUAACGUGGCCUGUUAUUCUCGUUUCUACCUUGUUACCUCACUCUGCGGUGAAUUUCCAGUUGAACUGUUAUUGAUUUGUAUGAAUGGAAUCAUGAAUAUUUUCUCUUUGAGUAUUUCUUGUCUGAUGUAUACUUGAUAUGUAUGUAUUUGGAUCUUUGGUAUGAAUGUGGAGAGAAAUGGGUUUUCAUACAAGAUUAAGUGUGAAUAAUUAAAUAGGUACCUAGAGUGUAAAAAUAAGGUGUGAUCGGUGUUUUUUUUUAUGAGACUUUGUCAUGACUGUAUUAUUUCACAAACGUUGAAACAUACCUGAUAUUGUACCAGAAAAUCUUCAAAUAUAACCCGGUAUUAUUUUGUUUUUAACAAAUUGAAUGCGUGAAUCAUAUUUCGAACCGAGUAUUAUGCUACUAGAUCCCUUUAUAUAUACUCUGCUUGUAAUAGAAUCACAGUACUCCAACAACACUUGAGUUUGACAUGAGAUACUACUGACGGACGCCUUAAGUCGACAUAUUAAUGUCCGAUAAUAAAUCGCCCGACCAGAGGCCUCCCAUGUUAGGAGUGGAAUCAGGGGAGAUCUCUAUUGUCAUAUUUGUAGUUAUCACAUAUAUCUUCCAAUAUAUUACAAAUUAUUCAUAAUUAAAGCUCAUUCCUUGGGUGUAGUUAGAAUGUGUAGCUGGGUGUGGUUUAUCAUCAAGUCAUUGAUAACACUUUUUGAACCGUAUAGUGCUAAUUGUUAUUGCUGAAUAUUUUUGGCGUUUGUUUUUUGUUCCAUCCUUCACACAUUUAUUUUACAUUUGAUAUUUAUCAUUAUUACUAAUAGUCAUAUCUACAUUCUAACACAGUAGCUGGUACAGACAUGUUGGAGUUGUGAAACAGUGUAUAAAUCAUUAUUACAUGUACUCGUGUAGUAUUUCUGUCCUUUAGCGAAACCAAUGAAUGAAAUGGAAGGAACCAAAUAAGUACAGGUAUAUAUCUGAUGAACAAAGCAUAAGUCAAUGUUUUUUUUGGUAAGAAAUAACCAAAUGAACCUAAAACGUAGUCUGUAUUUGUACUAUGACCUUGGUCUAUAUGAACAUACAGUUGUACUACAUCAAGUCAUCUGGAAAUGUUUUCUGUACACUUAAACCAACUCUACUUAACCAUAUUUUUAAUUAUAGGUGUAACAAUUUUCCAGAUUUCAAAAGAAGUUUAACUUCAUAUGUGUACCUUAGCAAAUGUAAUUGUAUUUUAAUAUUAUUGUAUAUGCUAUUUUGACCUUGUGAAUGUUUCCUUGACCUUUUUUGUUACUUUGACCUUGACCUAUUACUGACACAUGCACUAAGAUUAAGACAGUGAGAAGUCAAGUGAAUUGUCUAGUAAGGUAAUGAACAUUCCUUUUUUUCUGUUCACCUGUUUUAAACUUUGUUUGAAUGUGACUGGAGAAAUAUUCAACUGAAACUGUAGUACAACUGUCAAAAUAUUUUUAAGUUUCACUAAAAAUAUAAUCUUUAAAAAAAUCAACUGUAAAAUAUAUUGAUUUUGUUAUUAAUAAUUUCCUGAACAUCACGGGGUAAUGUAUAUGUUUCUGUUACUGAGACAAAGAGUUACUCAUACUACUGCAAAGAUGAUCAAAUUGACAUGAUACAGUAUGGUCAACAUAGAAAAACAAUUAUAUAUAUACAUGAUAUACACAUAUAAACAAUUCCUGUUUAUGUAAACAUAUACUACAAUAACCAUUUUUCAGUCAGUAAAUCAUCAUUGGAGGUGAAAAUAGGCUGAAGACACAAUGGGACAUAUUUGUAAUAAACAAACCCAAGAUAAUCAAGAUACUUUAAUCAUAUGCUGUUAAUUGUUUUAUUAUCAUAAUAAAUGCUCAAGUUAAGAUUCUUUAUAGAAAUCCUUAUUUUAGUAUUAUGUUCAUAGCAUAAUAGAAACAACAGUUUUAAUACAAAAACAUGUGUUCACUAUAUACCUGCUUAGCUUUCAAUAUAUAAUCUUGAGUAAAUUUAAUUUGAAUGUAAUUAUAUUGAUAUAAUUUGAUAUCCCGAUUGUAAUACUGUUGUGCCAUUAAUGUCAGGGUAUACUAAGAACACUAAAAACAAUGGUCUAAUGAUUCAUAGUAACACAAAACUCCCCACCGAAAAAUAGUCUGAAAUAUAUAUAAAUAAAAACGUUAUGAUUUAAUUUCCUCAAAUGAAAUAAGAAAACCAUUGGUUAAUUUCAAAAUGGUCAUAAAGGAGAAACAUCUUUAAUUUUACAAUUAGAUGUGCUUGAUAGUGCUUGCAAAAUGUUUCAGCACUUGUAUAUAAAGUGUAUGAAGAUGUUGUUUGUGACUGAAACAUGGCACAUUGAUGGAUGUUAUCUGAGACAGUGGUAAGGAGUGGGUAGAUAGUGGUGAGGGAACCCAUGUAGUUAGAGUGAAGAUGGAGAAUGAGACUGGGGGAGUGUCGGUAGGGAGAAAACAGCGUACAGUAUAGAGAUACACAGUAUAUUUGUACUGUAAAUAUCACUGAUACAUCAUUAUGUACAGCAUAGUUUUUGUGUCAAGUUAGAAUUGUUUCUAGUCAUAUUUAACUGUUUCGUUAAAUAUCCAUGUACACUUGUUGAUUUGCCCGAAUAGUAACAUUACCAUAUAAUCUUUCUGGAUUGUAUAUUUGGUCGUAACCAAACUGAAAAUCUGAUACACCAUCAUAUUGGUGCAUUAUCUAUGUGUUGUUGAGGUAUAUAAGAUAAACUAUAAUGCAUAUUAGCCAUGAACCUGGGCAUUUUCACUCUCGAAGUGUUAUAAUUAUGUAUCAAUAUGGCAUCAGUAUAAUAGUACCUGUAUGUGUACAUAUAUAUUUAGAAGUCAACAUCUGAUCCAACGCAGUAGUUGCCAUGGUAACCUACUGUUUUCUGUACACAAAGUUGUUUAUCAGUAGUGUUUGUGUACAUUUUGACACGUUUUACUUGUCACUUGUAAGUGAAGAAAUAUUAUACAUUUAAUUCAGUGUCCGUAAUGAAUAUUUCUCAUUUAUUUCACGAGAAGAGUCAGUUGCAAAUUUGAACAUUUCAAAACUAUUCUUUAAUACCAAUGUACUCAUCAGUGAACAAUUCUAUAGCUGAUGUCAUUCCAUUCCCAGAAACUGCUCUCUAGUGUUUACGGAAAAUUAAGUGAUAGGUAAUCUUUUCCUGGUAUCUUUGGACAGUUUCUAAACAUUUUGCCCUGUUAAUUUCAACCUGGCAUUCCAGUUGUGAUAUGAAGUAAUUUUCAAAAGACUGCAAGGUAAAACUCUCAACUCAAAGCAAAAGGUUCUGACUGAGAAAUAUGGUAAUUAUGUUCAGAAACAUAAAACACAAUCAAACAGAAAACAAGUCAAUAUUAUCUUAUUAAAUUUUAGUCACAUUAAUCUUCUUUACUAAAUACAUUAUUGUAUGUCAUUAAUAGUGGCAUUAUUAUUAUGUUAUUGUCACCAACAUCAAACGUCCAUUCACUUGGAAAUAUGUGAUGAUCUUUAUUCAUGUCUAAGUGUGAUACAACUGUAAUAUAAGUAUGUAGUAUAUGUCAUGUCAUUCAAGAAUUUUGAUACAAAAAAAUAAAGAAUCAGCUGACA